rnacentral:rRNA from 1 species
UUGGUUAAGCUAUUAAGAGCACACGGAGGAUGCCUAGGCGCCAGGAGCCGAUGAAGGACGUGGCGAACUACGAAAAUGCCUCGGGGAGCUGUAAGCAAGCGUUGA